rnacentral:rRNA from 1 species
CAGUCGCCACGGUAAUACAGAGGAUGCAAGCGUUAUCCGGAAUGAUUGGGCGUAAAGGGCUCGCAGGCGGUUUCUUAAGUCUGAUGUGAAAGCCCCCGGCUCAACCGGGGAGGGUCAUUGGAAACUGGGAAGCUUGAGUGCAGAAGAGGAGAGUGGAUUUCCACGCGUAGCGGUGAGAUGCGUAGAGAUGUGGAGGAACACCAGUGGCGAAGGCGACUCUCUGGUCUGUAACUGACGCUGAGGAGCGCAAGCGUGGGGAGCGAACAGGAUUAGAUACCCCAGUAGUCCCUGUCUCUUAUAC